CAAUAUUCAGCAAAAAGACACCCACAAAUGUCAAAUUUGGUUAUCAACUCUGUCCAAUAAAUCUAAUUGCUCCAGUAUGCUCAGUCAUCUCACCAAAAUGAGAAUCUUCUAAAUUUUAUUUUCCAGAAUCAUUCAUUGGAAAUUCCUUUGAACAUACUCCAAAAAGAGGAUAUCUCCCAUACAGAUAAACCCAUCGUUGGCCAUGAAUUUCUAGUAAAGUUUUUACAAAACUAUGAAAUGGAAGAAGAUGUCCAAAUGCUAUUGGAGAUGCCAGCAAAUGGAGAAAAAGAACUAGCGGGGAAGAAUGGUGUGUCUCAGGCUACUUCGCCAGGGCUAGUUUUCUUUGAAGUGUCAAAUUUGAAGCUGGAUGAUCGGAAGGGAGAAAAGACAUCCUUGGUUUCUGAGAGGAACCGCGGUAGAGCGUGUGAGUCAAGAACAGAGAAGAUACUAAGGAAAACUCGCCACCACCCCAGAAAAAAGGCAUACCUGCCCCAUAAAAAGGAGAGAACAUUUCUCAAAAUGUUGUAUGAAACAAUGGAAGAAGUGAAGAGCUGUGAACGACUUGUUUCAAGUAUGCUACAUCUUCUGAAAUGACCACUGCUUUUAGAAGAUCAGCCAGCUGGAAAUAUUUGUGGACUUUCUUUCAGUGACUCAAGAUUUCAAACAGUGAAACAUUGUGAAUAUCUGGUAAUGAUUUCUACAUCAGCCCAUGCUUACCGGUCCCCAGCCCAAUUACAGAGCAACACCUAAACUUGAGAAAUUAUUUCUUAAAGGAAACUGUAAUUCUGAGAAAUGAGACUCCAAUGACUAUACCUUGUUGGUAUAAGAAACUAUAUCAAAAGAUGUCUAGAUAUUGAAUUAUUCUUGUAUAUUCUGUGAAUAAAAUC
rnacentral:lncRNA from 1 species